AGCGAACGCUGGCGGCAGGCUUAACACAUGCAAGUCGAGCGGGCACUUUCGGGUGUCAGCGGCGGACGGGUGAGUAACGCGUGGGAACGUGCCCUCUGGUUCGGAAUAACUCAGGGAAACUUGAGCUAAUACCGGAUACGCCCUUUUGGGGAAAGGCUUGCUGCCGGAGGAUCGGCCCGCGUCUGAUUAGCUAGUUGGUGAGGUAACGGCUCACCAAGGCGACGAUCAGUAGCUGGUCUGAGAGGAUGAUCAGCCACACUGGGACUGAGACACGGCCCAGACUCCUACGGGAGGCAGCAGUGGGGAAUAUUGGACAAUGGGCGCAAGCCUGAUCCAGCCAUGCCGCGUGAGUGAUCAAGGCCUUAGGGUUGUAAAGCUCUUUUAUCCGGGACGAUAAUGACGGUGCCGGAGGAAUAAGCCCCGGCUAACUUCGUG
rnacentral:rRNA from 1 species